AAUUCCAGCUCCAAUAGCGUAUAUUAAAGUUGUUGCAGUUAAAAAGCUCGUAGUUGGAUUUGUGGCUGUCGCGUGCGGCCUGACACUCAGUGUUAGUGCUUGCUUGCGUCGCCAUCCUUGGGUGGAACCUGUGUGGCAUUAGGUUGUCGUGCAGGGGAUGCCCAUCGUUUACUGUGAAAAAAUUAGAGUGUUCAAAGCAGGCUUAUGCCGUUGAAUAUGUUAGCAUGGAAUAAUAAGAUAGGACCUUGGUACUAUUUUGUUGGUUUGCGCACCAAGGUAAUGAUUAAUAGGGACAGUUGGGGGUAUUCGUAUUCCAUUGUCAGAGGUGAAAUUCUUGGAUUUUUGGAAGACGAACUACUGCGAAAGCAUUUACCAAGGAUGUUUUCAUUAAUCAAGAACGAAAGUUAGGGGAUCGAAGAUGAUUAGAUACCAUCGUAGUCUUAACCAUAAACUAUGCCGACAAGGGAUUGGCGGAGUUUCGUUUUGUCUCCGUCAGCACCUUAUGAGAAAUCACAAGUCUUUGGGUUCCGGGGGGAGUAUGGUCGCAAGGCUGAAACUUA
rnacentral:rRNA from 1 species